CCCUAAAAUAGCAAAUACAGAAGAAACGACUUACUAUAAAAUGGUGAUCAAAAUAUAAAUGACUGCAGACUUAAGAUACAGGAACAAGGGUGCUAUUUUAUUAAGGCACUAAAUAAAAAGUAACUACUGUAAUUUUGAAGUGCUGAGCUCCGUGAUCUUUUAAGAUCUGCAGCUGCUGUACAGAGAUGUCACAUCCGCGGCUCGUGCCGGUGACCGUCAUGAGUAUUGUCAUACUUACCGUGGUUGCUUGCCCACAUUUUAUAAUUAAAGGAAAUGAUACAUUUCAGUUAGGAGUUAGUGAAAAUGAAGAUCCAGCUUUUUUCCUCACCUAAAUGCAUGGACCCCCUGAAAUCUCGUCCACGUUGAGGGCGAUACUAGCAACAUAUUUUAACGGGCAAGGGUAGGACUGUGGGGUCAGAGUCCCCCAGUGGGCACUUUUAAGUGUAUCAAGUGCCUUGGGAAAUACAGCUCUCCCACCAGUAAUUUAGGUUUGUGAAUGAGUCUGUUCUUUCCCCCGGGAGUGGAAAGCUGAAAUUAUAAAGGCCUACGGAAUUAUCUCACAAAAUGUUAUGAAUAUGACCCAAAGCUUGAGUGAGUCUCUGGCUUUCUGGAAGCAUGUUUCAUAUGUGCUGCUGCCGUCGAAAAGACAUGCAAACUCUGAAAAUGUCCAAAAGAAGUAGGGAUUUCCAUUUAAACGGUGAUCUGAGAAGUCUCAUUAAAACGAGUAAGGGGACCAUUUCCAUUCUGGAACACUCACACCAAAAAUCGUAGGUCAGUGAAAGGAAGGCCGGUAACAGUCAAGCGGCCGUGUAACCUGCAGCCUGACUUGGGGACAGUAGCCAUGCCACCGAGUUACCGCUGUGGCCGGUCACGGGUGCUCGGCUUGGAGACGGCAGUGCCACUGGUGAGCUUCUUAAGAGAAGUUGUAAAGCGGGGCUUUGAAAGAGAGGUGGGUGUUUGUCAGGUGGCCAGACAUGGACUUGAUGUCCCAGGCCACUUGCGCGUGGUGUGACAAGGCGAAGGAGGAGAUCCGGCCAAGUUAGGACGUGAGGGCAGCAGGGCAAGACGUGAUGGGAGAGGCUGACGUGCUGACGUGACCUGGGUCGUGGACGCCUUCUGCCCAGGGACUCGGAUUCUGGCCUGUGGGCAGGAACGAGCUUCUUUCAAAUGUUUU